AUUGAACGCUGGCGGCAGGCCUAACACAUGCAAGUCGAGCGGCAGCGGAAAGUAGCUUGCUACUUUGCCGGCGAGCGGCGGACGGGUGAGUAAUGUCUGGGAAACUGCCUGAUGGAGGGGGAUAACUACUGGAAACGGUAGCUAAUACCGCAUGACCUCGAAAGAGCAAAGUGGGGGAUCUUCGGACCUCACGCCAUCGGAUGUGCCCAGAUGGGAUUAGCUAGUAGGUGAGGUAAUGGCUCACCUAGGCGACGAUCCCUAGCUGGUCUGAGAGGAUGACCAGCCACACUGGGACUGAGACACGGCCCAGACUCCUACGGGAGGCAGCAGUGGGGAAUAUUGCACAAUGGGCGCAAGCCUGAUGCAGCCAUGCCGCGUGUGUGAAGAAGGCCUUAGGGUGUAAAGCACUUUCAGCGAGGAGGAAGGCAUCAUACUUAAUACGUGUGGUGAUUGACGUUAUCGCAG
rnacentral:rRNA from 1 species